rnacentral:rRNA from 1 species
GAAAGGCGCUUUCGGGUGUCGCUGAUGGAUGGACCCGCGGUGCAUUAGCUAGUUGGUGAGGUAACGGCUCACCAAGGCCACGAUGCAUAGCCGACCUGAGAGGGGGACCGGCCACAUUGGGACUGAGCCACGGUCCAAAUCUUUAUGGCAGCCAGAACUCUGCAAUCUUCGGCAAUGGACGAAAGUCUGACCGAGCAACGCCGCGUGAGUGAAGAAGGUUUUCGGAUCGUAAAACUCUGUUGUUAGAGAAGAACAAGGAUGAGAGUAACUGUUCAUCCCUUGACGGUAUCUAACCAGAAAGCCACGGCUAACUACGUGCCAGCAGCCGCGGUAAUACGUAGGUGGCAAGCGUUGUCCGGAUUUAUUGGGCGUAAAGCGAGCGCAGGCGGUUUCUUAAGUCUGAUGUGAAAGCCCCCGGCUCAACCGGGGAGGGUCAUUGGAAACUGGGAGACUUGAGUGCAGAAGAGGAGAGUGGAAUUCCAUGUGUAGCGGUGAAAUGCGUAGAUAUAUGGAGGAACACCAGUGGCGAAGGCGGCUCUCUGGUCUGUAACUGACGCUGAGGCUCGAAAGCGUGGGGAGCAAACAGGAUUAGAUACCCUGGUAGUCCACGCCGUAAACGAUGAGUGCUAAGUGUUGGAGGGUUUCCGCCCUUCAGUGCUGCAGCUAACGCAUUAAGCACUCCGCCUGGGGAGUACGACCGCAAGGUUGAAACUCAAAGGAAUUGACGGGGGCCCGCACAAGCGGUGGAGCAUGUGGUUUAAUUCGAAGCAACGCGAAGAACCUUACCAGGUCUUGACAUCCUUUGACCACUCUAGAGAUAGAGCUUCCCCUUCGGGGGCAAAGUGACAGGUGGUGCAUGGUUGUCGUCAGCUCGUGUCGUGAGAUGUUGGGUUAAGUCCCGCAACGAGCGCAACCCUUAUUGUUAGUUGCCAUCAUUCAGUUGGGCACUCUAGCAAGACUGCCGGUGACAAACCGGAGGAAGGUGGGGAUGACGUCAAAUCAUCAUGCCCCUUAUGACCUGGGCUACACACGUGCUACAAUGGGAAGUACAACGAGUUGCGAAGUCGCGAGGCUAAGCUAAUCUCUUAAAGCUUCUCUCAGUUCGGAUUGCAGGCUGCAACUCGCCUGCAUGAAGCCGGAAUCGCUAGUAAUCGCGGAUCAGCACGCCGCGGUGAAUACGUUCCCGGGCCUUGUACACACCGCCCGUCACACCACGAGAGUUUG